CAUACAUCGCUUGAAAGACAAUUAAUUGUGAUGAGGCGUAUAAAUGCCACACCGCUUCAGAUAAAAUCAUUUUGUUGAUAAAUUUCGAGGGGUAGAUACAGUUUAAAAAUGGCGAUGAGGAUAGGUUUUUGUGUUUUCCUGGUUAUCGUAGCUCAAGCCUACUGCCAACGAGAAGAACUAGCGUCGUAUUUAAAGGGUAUUGCCGAAUCAGUACACGAAGUAAUCCCAGAUAAUCCAAAGGACUCAGUGUCAAUGAAAGUAGAAUUCUCUCUGACAAAUGUUGUUGAUUAUAACCCCAAGAAUCAAGUUUUGGAUAUAGGAGGUUGGUUAAUGCUUAGUUGGGACGAUGCAAGAUUUGCAUGGAAUCCUAAACAAUUUGGUAAUAUUAGUCAAGCUAAAAUACCCGCUACUUCUAUAACACAGCCAGACAUCAAAUUGUUCAAUGGAGCACGACACGGUAUGACCAUAGAUGCCGAUAUCAAGUGUGUGAUCUUCAGCACCGGAAACGUUUUAUGUAUACCUCUUGUCGAUAUUGAGAGUUACUGUCCGAUUACUAACCCAGCAGGGGAUACCUUCGAUUGCAGUAUUAAACUUGGCUCUUGGGCUUAUGA